rnacentral:misc_RNA from 1 species
AUUCCGUGUUCUCUUCAGACCUCUUUGGCGCACGUAUGUGUUCCGUGCACGAUGAUGGUGUGAGCACGGCGCCGCACGGCAUGCAUGCUGCACGCAUGCUAUUCGUGUGUGUGUGUGUGCACCUACGCAUUGCGCCCCCUUGUCCUUUUCGUUCGUCAUCUCGCCCAGCAUUCGGCUCGUCGGCUGCGGACUGUUGCCGAGAGCAAGAAUACAAGAGCGAGCGUGCAAGAUGGGAGAGAGGGGCUGAGGACGAGAGGCACGGUGCUGCGUUCGAUGCCGUCUUUGCCUUCAAUGUGCGAUGGCGAUGCACGCGGGCGCACGUCGCAUGGAUGACGGUGAAAAACAGCAUGGGCAGAUGUCUCUUCUGUAUCCGCACGCAGAGGCACACGCAGACGUCGACUGACACCCAAACACACAGGACGUGGAGAAGAACGAGAAAGCCAAGAGCGAAGGUGUGAGGGGGGGAGAGGCGGAGGCGUGCGGCGUGAGGGGGGACUUAACGCUAAUUUUUCAACGAAACAAAGGAAAGGGAUACCAUCACACACACACGCGCGCGAGAAACGUUCACGAAAAAAGGCGCAGCAGAUUCGAGUACGUUUCAAGAAUCUUUCCCCCUCCCCUAGCUUCUAUCAUGGCAUCAUCGGCGGCAGGUACGUCUUUUCAUGCGUGCCUCCAUCCUGUCCUCUCUCUCCCACUUCCUUGACGCAUGUGCGGUGGAAGCGGUGGUUGGGUGGCGCGACUGACUAAAUCAUCCGCGGGAGGAGACGUUCUUUCUUGCUUGCCAUCUUGUCUUUUCUGUGCUCGCCAGCGAUAGAGAGCGAUGGAGAAAGGGGAGGGGGAGGGGUGGGGUGGCAAGACUGCAAGCACCACGCACCUCAAGCGGAGCUCUGCUGCGAGAUCGCCGCACCUGCGCCGUCCUCCUCUUUUGGCCAUGUCUUCGUCUUCACUGAUUCUUUAUGUCCAUCUCCCCAUCACAUCCGUCCUUCUCUCUCUUUCGGUUCUGCGCACCCGCCUUGGUGGCGCCGACGGCACCGGCUUGUAUCGAG